rnacentral:lncRNA from 1 species
AUCCAUCUCCCACUCCCCUACCCCGCCGCCUCCGCCAGUCCGCCUCCUUGCGCCUACCCCACCACCGUCGCCCGCCGCCUUCUCCACCAGCGCCGACGCCUCCUCACGCCUACCCCAUUGCCGUCUCUGUCGUCGGCCCCGCCUUCUCCGCCGCCGACGCCUCCUCGCGGCUACGGGUCGCCGUCGCCCGCCGCCUUCUCCGCUGCUGGUAGCCACAAAACCUACCCCGCCGCCGACGUCUCCACGCGCCUACCACCCCCUACUCUCACGCUCCGUCGCCGAUCUCCUCCGCCGUUGCCCCGCCAUCGAUCUCCGACGCCGGAACUCCGUUGCAUAUGUCGCACGUCACCCAGAUCGGCGUCGCUCCAAGAUUGGCGUCACCGUCGCGGGCGUCGAUCUCGCUCCCCUAUCGGCAUCGCAAUCACCGGCGAUGAUAUCUUCGCCGUCGUCGCCUUCGAUCCGGCGGGCCACGCCUCUGUCCACGCCCACCGCGGAGUGCGCCCCUCCAGCCAGUACAGCAGCAUCGCCACUGCCGACAGGAGCAGCAUCCCCGUCCAGAUUGUCAGCAGACAACCAGGAUGUCACUGCCAAGCUAAACACAAAAGCGACAAAACAGCUCCCACAUCGCAGAAGAGGUGUUAUCGUUGCCGAGCUAGCCGCCCAAGCGACCCAGCAGCGCCGACUUCACAACUAAAGACACGAAAGUCGCCAAAGCGAAAAGCAGCUCCGACAUCCAACAAUGGACAUCAGCCAAGCCAUCGAGUAGCCACUUCCUUCACGCAGCCAACACCAGAACUCCUUAGAAGAGACUACAGCACGUCAUCGUCGCCAAACAUCCCGCACCCCGUAAGCCUGAUUAUCGUGGUAUAUUAUUUGUUGGAGGUGUUAUACGUGAUAUGA